UACAGAGGGUGCAAACGUUGUUCGGAAUCACUGGGCUUAAAGCGUGUGUAGGCGGCGUCCUAAGUCCCUUGUGAAAUCCCACGGCUCACCCGUGGAACUGCUCGGUAUACUGGGUCGCUUGAGCCACUUAGGGGCUACCGGAACAAAUGGUGUAGCGGUGAAAUGCGUAGAUAUCAUUUGGAACGCCAAUGGUGAAAACAGGUAGCUGGGAGUGUGCUGACGCUGAGACACGAAAGCCAGGGGAGCAAACGGG
rnacentral:rRNA from 1 species